rnacentral:rRNA from 3 species
UUGACCUCGGAUCAGGUAGGGAUACCCGCUGAACUUAAGCAUAUCAAUAAGCGGAGGAAAAGAAACCAACAGGGAUUGCCUCAGUAACGGCGAGUGAAGCGGCAAUAGCUCAAAUUUGAAAGCUGGCGUCUUCGACGUCCGCGUUGUAAUUUGUAGAGGAUGCUUCGGCAAGGACUCCUGCCUAAGUCCCCUGGAACGGGGCGUCACAGAGGGUGAGAAUCCCGUAUGUGGCGGGCGGUCCGAGCCAUGUGAAGCUCCUUCGACGAGUCGAGUUGUUUGGGAAUGCAGCUCUAAAUGGGAGGUAAAUUUCUUCUAAAGCUAAAUAUUGGCCAGAGACCGAUAGCGCACAAGUAGAGUGAUCGAAAGAUGAAAAGCACUUUGGAAAGAGAGUUAAAAAGUACGUGAAAUUGUUGAAAGGGAAGCGCUUGCAACCAGACUCGCUCGCAGUUGCUCAGCCGGCCUCUUGGCCGGUGUACUCUUCUGCGAUCGGGCCAGCAUCGGUUCGGGCGGCCGGAUAAAGGUGUCGGGAAUGUAGCACCCUUCGGGGUGUGUUAUAGCCCGGCGCGGAAUGCGGCCAGCCUGGACCGAGGAUCUCGCUUCGGCAAGGAUGCUGGCGUAAUGGUUGUAAGCGGCCCGUCU